UUGAAUAUUGUCUAGUGUGUGGCCAGCCUAACUGGACAGAUUGACAUCCCUGAAGUUUCACUGACUUGGUGUUAUACUGUGAUGAUUUCACAUGUUCAUGCUUACAUACAAUUAGCUGAAGUAUGAUAAUGCGUAUUUGGUGUGCUGUCCGGGGAAGGGCUCCGAGCUCAGGAAUAGCCAGAACCUAGAGUACCCCCCUCCCCGUAUAAUUGUACAAUGAACUCGAAGAGAGGAGAUGGGGGGGGGGAGGGAUGCUGCUAAACCGUCAAUGGAUAAGUCAGCUGUAUUUAUACUAUGGUGUUGAUUAACUUGAUUGUGCUCCACUGGUGUUGAUUAGGCUAAGUAUCUGACGCGCUCCUCCCAAACCUGGUUAAUAAAACAUCAAGUGUUCACUUUAUUUUUGAGCAGUGUAGUAUCUAAAACACUGAAAGUCUGAAUGCAGUUGUUUAAUAGCAAUGGUUACAUAUUUAAUCUUUACUAAUGUCUGUGCUUCUUCAAUGUCAAAGAUGAAUCAUUCCAGACCUGAGGAUGACAGAUACAAAGUAUCUGAUGUUGAUACGACUGAACGUUUGUAUGAGAAUGUAAUAAUGAAUUAUUCCAGACCUCAUGAUGACAGACUUAAUGACUAUGAAGUAGAGUCGACUGAACCUGUGUAUGAGAAUGUAAUGGUAAGUGCUUUCACUCUUGAUAUCAAAUGUCUACUGAAUAAGUAUAUGGUGCACAGCAUAUAAUUCACUGUUUAAGAUCAAGUAAUUCAAGUCCUUUUAUACUGACCAGAAAUUUGAAGUGUAUUAUUUAGUCAUGAAGUUAUUCACAAAUUCACUUUCUUUCUUUUAGCGUGACAGGCCGUAGUGUUUGGGACAUGUGGCAAAACAUUUUACAGCCUUUUUCUGUCUCACUGUGGGUGGAGCCUGAAUGAUUGACAGUGUCUUGAUUUACAGAAAUUAAUUUAGAAAUUGGUUUUAUCCAAAUGAUAAGCCUUAAGUGCUGAAAUUUUAUUUGACUGUAUUUAAGCAUAAAAAUACUAUACGAAUUAGAAUGAAAACAAUCUUAAAUUACAACACACAAAAACUACAUCUUAAAACUAAUAUAAUCAUGUAAGAUCUCAUUGGAUGUUAAGUUUAACAUAUUCUGCCUAUUCCGUGUUUUUAAAGAUAUUGUAUAUUGCAUUUUUAUUAAAGUGUAUUGUCAUACCGCA
rnacentral:lncRNA from 12 species